rnacentral:rRNA from 1 species
CAUUAGCUUGUUGGCGGGGUAACGGCCCACCAAGGCGACGAUGCCUAGGGGUUCUGAGAGGAAGGUCCCCCACACUGGUACUGAGACACGGACCAGACUCCUACGGGAGGCAGCAGUGAGGAAUAUUGGUCAAUGGGCGAGAGCCUGAACCAGCCAAGUCGCGUGAGGGACGACGGCCCUACGGGUUGUAAACCUCUUUUGCCGGGGGACAAACGGCGGCACGCGUGCCGUCCUGAGGGUACCCGGAGAAAAAGCAUCGGCUAACUCCGUGCCAGCAGCCGCGGUAAUACGGAGGAUGCGAGCGUUAUCCGGAUUUAUUGGGUUUAAAGGGUGCGUAGGCGGGAUGCCAAGUCAGCGGUCAAAUACGGGGGCUCAACCUGCGUCCGCCGUUGAAACUGGCGUUCUUGAGUGGGCGAGAAGUACGCGGAAUGCGUGGUGUAGCGGUGAAAUGCAUAGAUAUCACGCAGAACCCCGAUUGCGAAGGCAGCGUACCGGCGCCCAACUGACGCUGAAGCACGAAAGCGUGGGUAUCGAACAGGAUUAGAUACCCUGGUAGUCCACGCAGUAAACGAUGAACACUAAUUGUCCGGCGGGGUUUGCCGCUGG